AUGGACAAUGGGAUGCAAUAUUAACACCCAGAUCCUCUAUCACUAACACAUACUCUACGCAUUCCAGCAGAACCAGGUAUAACGCCUGAUACUUCAGGGUGGGUGUUUGCUCUUGAUUGAGAACAAUCAUCGAUAAUAAGCCAAAACAUCACAUGCUAGAUCUCAGUAAGACACGCUUUUACUACCAAAGGUUUGUAUAACAUUACCCCCCCCCCCCAAUCACCUCUAUAGUCGGCUGCUAACGUGGCUCCACCUCGGGCUCCAACAGCAUUGGCUCCAGUGUCACAGUCAUAUGUGCUUGCCAUAUUUGUACUAUGACAUUGUGUGGUGUAUCGGUCUCGCUUCUUCAGCAGUGGUAAUCCAUUAAGCACAUCAUCUGUCAAGUUGAUUAUCCAUGUAGCAUCAUCCGCAGAUUGAGUUACCAAAGUUCUGAGUAGAACUAUCCUGGAAAUCUCUCCGUCAUUAUAAAGUUCAUGGAGAUCAAUCAAUAACUCGUGAGUAACGUUAUUAGUUGAAUUGCUUAUAAGCGGAUUAUCGAUAUAUAUAUGGUUCAUUAAUGCAGUCAUCUUGCUAGCAUUAUAUAAUUCAUUUACGAUAUAUCUGAAUUCAUAGUGCUGUGUAGUGUUAUCUGGAGGAAAUUGGGCUACCCAGAUUACAGCUGGAGCGUCUUCGAGGUCAGUUGGAAAGCAACUGAUUAGUGUAACCAACGAUAGAUAGCAACGUAACUAAUAAUAGCAAUCUCAUCGGUAAAAUAUUAAAAAGAGGAUGAAGAUAGUUCCAAAUUUCUAUGAUAUUGACGUUCUCUUGAUCGCUAUAUAUUACUAAGCCUCAGAGCAUACAAACACCUACUUACUGCGGAACGAAAAUAAGGGUUAUAGGAUAAUCCUUUGUAUG